AAGUCGUAACAAGGUCUCCGUUGGUGAACCAGCGGAGGGAUCAUUACUGAGUUCUACAAAAACUCCCAACCCUUUGUGAACCUUACCGUCGUUGCCUCGGCGCCGAGCGGCGGCUACCCGGGAGCUACCCUGUAGACCACCUACCCUGUAGGUGCCUACCCUGUAGCUACCCUGUAGUUGCACUUUACGCUCCGCCGGUGGACUACCCAACUCUGUUUUUAAUGGUGUAUCUCUGAAAACAAAAACAAAAUAAGUUAAAACUUUCAACAACGGAUCUCUUGGUUCUGGCAUCGAUGAAGAACGCAGCGAAAUGCGAUAAGUAAUGUGAAUUGCAGAAUUCAGUGAAUCAUCAAAUCUUUGAACGCAUAUUGCGCCCACUAGUAUUCUGGUGGGCAUGCCUAUUCGAGCGUCAUUUCAACCCUUAAGCCCUGUUGCUUAGUGUUAGGAGCCUACUACCUUACGGCGUAGCUCCCUAAAGGCAGUGGCGGUGUUAGGUACACUCGUAGCGUAGUAAUUCUUUUUCUCGCUCCUGCUGUGUACCUAGGGCCUGCCGUAAAACCCCUAUACUUUCUAGUGGUUGACCUCGGAUUAGGUAGGAAUACCCGCUGAACUUAA
rnacentral:misc_RNA from 1 species